rnacentral:rRNA from 1 species
UGGGGAAUAUUGCACAAUGGGCGAAAGCCUGAUGCAGCAACGCCGCGUGAGUGAUGAAGGUCUUCGGAUUGUAAAGCUCUGUCUUUUGGGACGAUAAUGACGGUACCAAAGGAGGGAGCCACGGCUAACUACGUGCCAGCAGCCGCGGUAAUACGUAGGUGGCGAGCGUUGUCCGGAUUUACUGGGCGUAAAGGGUGCGUAGGCGGAUGUUUAAGUGAGAUGUGAAAUACCCGGGCUUAACUUGGGUGCUGCAUUUCAAACUGGAUAUCUAGAGUGCAGGAGAGGAGAAUGGAAUUCCUAGUGUAGCGGUGAAAUGCGUAGAGAUUAGGAAGAACACCAGUGGCGAAGGCGAUUCUCUGGACUGUAACUGACGCUGAGGCACGAAAGCGUGGGUAGCAAACAGGAUUAGAUACCCUGGUAGUCCACGCCGUAAAACGAUGAGUACUAGGUGUAGGAGGUAUCGACCCCUUCUGUGCCGCAGUAAAACACAUUAAAGUA